CCAAAGGCUCUUUUCAGAGCCACUCAGAUCCUCAGUAAAGGCUGU
rfam:Myotis lucifugus cont2.52522, whole genome shotgun sequence.